rnacentral:rRNA from 1 species
GAUGAACGCUGGCGGCGUGCCUAAUACAUGCAAGUCGAGCGAACGGACGAGAAGCUUGCUUCUCUGAUGUUAGCGGCGGACGGGUGAGUAACACGUGGAUAACCUACCUAUAAGACUGGGAUAACUUCGGGAAACCGUAGCUAAUACCGGAUAAUAUUUUGAACCGCAUGGUUCAAAAGUGAAAGACGGUCUUGCUGUCACUUAUAGAUGGAUCCGCGCUGCAUUAGCUAGUUGGUAAGGUAACGGCUUACCAAGGCAACGAUGCAUAGCCGACCUGAGAGGGUGAUCGGCCACACUGGAACUGAGACACGGUCCAGACUCCUACGGGAGGCAGCAGUAGGGAAUCUUCCGCAAUGGGCGAAAGCCUGACGGAGCAACGCCGCGUGAGUGAUGAGGGUCUUCGGAUCGUAAAACUCUGUUAUUAGGGAAGAACAUAUGUGUAAGUAACUGUGCACAUCUUGACGGUACCUAAUCAGAAAGCCACGGCUAACUACGUG